CUCUUCUCCAUCUUCUGCAUCUCCCAAAGAAUAGACUGAAAAAUUUGAUCUUCUCCACAAAAUGCAAGCUCUCCAACAAAGCUAGAGACAACAACAACAACAGUUUGUUUUUCAUUAAACCAACCCCUUACAACAUGUGUGGAAAGAUGAACUCAAGGCAAUGUUUCAAUCCUACACGUCAUCUGAUGUCAAUUCGGGAGAAUUCCAAAACCCUGGCCUCAUCCUUGUUCAGGUUCAUGGCAUACAAAUCAUUCCAAAGACACAAGAAUAAAGUACUGGCUCAACUGCUUGAAUUACAAGGAGAGGAGUUCAAGACUGGAUAAACAAGUUGCAUGGGAUAUAAAAAGAUAAAGAGAACAGUUCCAAACAUGAGUAGACAACAAGGUUUUUCAUAAAUCAUUUUAUCGCUAGAACCUUGCAAACAUGAUUUGACAAUGGUUCUGAUCUUCCCCAUUGUUAUCUACUUCCAAGGGUUUCCCAUUUUCCUUCCAGUUUGGCCAAGAAUUCUCGCGGACAACAACGUUCAUGUAUAGAAGUAGUAGUUGGAGUUGGAGAUGUUUUAUCAAGAGGUGAAAUGAUUAAGUGUAACUUCUUCAGGAGAGGGACCAAGUUAGAGUGGCAAUAUUGGGUCACGGUAGAUUGAAUUCAAUUUUAACAAGUAAGCGACUCUUGAUUGAUUUUAAUAUUUGAUAUGUGACUUUGAGUUUCUAGAGUUGAUUUUUCAUUUAAUUUGUAUU